AACUUGCAGCAAUCUCACUGCUUCAGCCUCCCGAGUACUGGGAUCACAGUUGUGUGCCACCACGCCUGGCAGAACUCCUAGUGCGAUGAUGGCGAACCUUCCAGAGUUUCCAAUAAUAAGAAACACUCAGCUUCAGCAUGAGCGUCAAAGAAAAAACUAGCGGAUUUUCUUCCUCUAAAGAAGCAUGGACAAGAAGCCAGGGAGGAGACCACAUGCGGUCCCUGGCUCUUGCUGUGUGAUGCCUGCAUUGCCUCAGGAUGUUCUCAGCAAGAUGUAGCCCUUUGACUUUGGACCUUCAGAACUGUUGGCUCUGAAGUCUGGAUUCAAGUGAUCUUCAGCCUCCCAAGUAGCUGGGACUACAGGUCAGCACCACUUUGUUAGGUAACUUAUUGUAAUUUUCUAUUGUCAAAUUUCUAAAUAUUCUUUCAUACCAGUGCUUUGUCUUUUUUUUUUUUUUUUUUU